GUUUAAUUAUGGAUUAUCUGUCACAUUUAAGGAGGCUGGAGGACGUGUUGGAUGGAUUGGCAGCUGUCUCAUGUGUAGUGUCAGGCUUUACUGCAUCUCCAUACAGCCUCAGUGCUUUAGCCAACAGCUGUCUGUCUCACAUCAAACUGGAUCCCUAAGUCUCUCAACUGCACUACCUCUUUUUCUUUCUGUUUUACAAUCUCAAUCCCAUGUGCACUUUCUUCCCUAUUGCUGUUUUUCUUUGAAUUCUUAAUGCCUGCCUGCCUCAACACUAUUACUUCCUCUUCUGAAGCUCAGAAUAACAGAAUAGGAGACUUAUGCCUAAAAUUGUGACUGACAUAAGAUUACAAAUAUCCAUAUAAACAGAUUAAAAUAAUAGCAUUUCGGAAAACUAAGGGUCUGUGUGAAUUUAUCUUCCUUGCUUCCUUUAUUCCUUCAUGUCAUGUAUUUCUCGUGGUUGGCAGAUAGCAAAAGAGUUUCAAAUCAUUGUCAGCCCUGACCUUUCCUUUGAAAAUUGGCCCACAUGCACAGCAUAUAUUGUUAGAGUGUGUGAGGGUGCACACGUUUCAGUGCAUGUGUUUAUGUCUGUGCAUAUGAGCAUGCUCCAUCUCCACAAAUUUAAAAAAAAAAAAAAAAAAAAAAACAUAAUCAGAAUGUCACGGUCAUUACCCUUCAUUUCAGCAGAAAAAAGCAGCAAGUUUACAAAAAUCUAUUUUCAAAAGGUCACACGCGACAGUCCAACACUUUGCUGUUUCAUUUUCAUUUUGUACCGCCCCCCUUUUUUCCUGCUCUCGUUCUCUCACUUUCUCUCUCCCCCUCCUUCCACCACCUCUAUCUUCCAUCCCCGUCUGUCUUCCUCCAGAGCAUUUCUCAUCAGACAAACAGAGCCCGUCUUGCUUUCCAAAGCAGCCACAGAAAGUAGCUAUCAGCCUGUCACAUCUUAUCGGAGGUUUUGCCUUCAUUCCAGGGAGAGUAGACAGAGCUCCAGCGGAAUUGUGGCCCAGUAGAUUCUCAACCAUUAAACAGCAAUAAUAAUUUAAACUAAAAAUACAAAAAGUCUG
ensembl:lncRNA